UACAGAGCCUCUAGCGUUAGGCGGAAUCACUGGGCUUAAAGCGUGUGUAGGCGGACGCCUAAGUGUCUUGUGAAAUCCCACGGCUCACCCGUGGAACUGCUGGGCAUACUGGGCGUCUUGGGCCAUUCAGGGGCAACUGGAACAAGCGGUGGAGCGGUGAAAUGCGUAGAUAUCGGAAGGAACAUCAGUGGCGAAAGCGACUUC
rnacentral:rRNA from 1 species